rnacentral:rRNA from 1 species
AUGGCGACGACGGCGCUGAUACUCCUCCUGGUGUUGUCGUCUUCGCCAGCGGUGGUGGCGUGGAAAGAUUCCGGGCUGUCCGUCGGGUUCUACAGGGAGUUGUGUCCCAAGGCGGAGAAGGUCGUCCGGCGAGUCGUCACCAAGGCAUUCAAGAAGGAGCCUGGCACCCCUGGCGACAUCAUCCGACUCUUUUUCCACGACUGCUUUGUCCGCGGUUGUGACGCCUCGGUGCUACUCGAGUCAACACCAGGGAACACCGCGGAGAGGGACUCGAAGCCAAACAACCCCAGCUUGGAUGGUUUCGAAGUCAUAAGUGACGCCAAGGAGAUUCUCGAGAAACUUUGCCCACAAACCGUCUCUUGUGCCGACAUUCUAGCCCUCUCUGCUCGUGAUGGUGCCUUCCUCGCUAGCGGGCUCGACUAUGCCAUUCCGACGGGUCGGCGUGAUGGACUCGUCUCCAAGGCAGACGAGGUUCUCCCUAGUGUCCCUCACCCCGACUUCCACCAUGAUCAGCUUAUCGGAAACUUCACUGCAAAAGGUUUUACGGCGGAGGAGCUGGUGACACUGUCUGGAGCCCACUCCAUCGGCACCUCACACUGCUCGUCAUUCACGGACCGUUUGUACAAGUACUACAACGACGGCGCAUACGGCACUGACCCGGCGAUGCCGGCGGCAUACGCGGAGCGCCUCAAGAAGAAGUGCCCUCCGGAGACGGCGGCGCACAACGACACCACAAUGGUGCAGCUCGACGACGUGACACCGUUCGUGAUGGACAACCAGUACUACAAGAACUUGCUGGCCGGCACGGUGGCCUUUGACUCGGAUAUGGCGCUCAUGGACGACCCUGAGACGGCGGCCCUCGUCGAGCUCUACGCCCGGGAGCCCUCCGACUACUGGACCGAGCGAUUCGCCGCCGCGAUGGUGAAGAUCAGCAAGAUGGACGUGCUCACCGGCAGCGAGGGGGAGAUCAGGCUGAACUGCUCCAAGGUGAACUAG